AGCGAACGCUGGCGGUAGGCCUAACACAUGCAAGUCGAACGGCAGCACAGUGAGAGCUUGCUCUUACGGGUGGCGAGUGGCGGACGGGUGAGGAAUACAUCGGAAUCUACUUUUUCGUGGGGGAUAACGUAGGGAAACUUACGCUAAUACCGCAUACGACCUACGGGUGAAAGCAGGGGAUCUUCGGACCUUGCGCGAUUGAAUGAGCCGAUGUCGGAUUAGCUAGUUGGCGGGGUAAAGGCCCACCAAGGCGACGAUCCGUAGCUGGUCUGAGAGGAUGAUCAGCCACACUGGAACUGAGACACGGUCCAGACUCCUACGGGAGGCAGCAGUGGGGAAUAUUGGACAAUGGGCGCAAGCCUGAUCCAGCCAUACCGCGUGGGUGAAGAAGGCCUUCGGGUUGUAAAGCCCUUUUGUUGGGAAAGAAAAGCAGCAGGUUAAUACCCCGCUGUUCUGACGGUACCCAAAGAAUAAGCACCGGCUAACUUCGUG
rnacentral:rRNA from 1 species